rnacentral:misc_RNA from 1 species
GAUGAAGAAGUAGUGAAAUGCGAUAAGUAAUGUGAAUUGCAGAAUUCAGUGAAUCAUCGAAUCUUUGAACGCAUCUUGCGCUCCUUGGUAUUCUGAGGAGCAUGCCUGUUUGAGUGUCAUUAAAUUCUCAACUACACUGACUUUGAAUUGGUGUGGCUUGGAUUUGGUGGGAAAAUUGUUGUGGGCUUUUUGUAUAGUCUGCUCCCCUGAAAUUGAUUAGCGGUACCUUUGUGGAACUGUCUACAGGUGUGAUAAUUAUCUACAUCUUAGACAUCUGCUGGAAUGCUGCUUUCUAACCCUUACUUGUAUUGACAAUCUUGACCUCAAAUCAGGUAGGACUACCCGCUGAACUUAAGCAUAUCAAUAAGCGGAGGA